rnacentral:rRNA from 1 species
GUUAGGAAUUUUGCGCAAUGGCCGAAAGGCUGACGCAGCAACGCCGCGUGAGGGAUGACGGCCUUCGGGUUGUAAACCUCUUUUAGUUAGGAAAAAAUAAAUGAUGGUACUGACAGAAAAAGCACCGGCUAACUACGUGCCAGCAGCCGCGGUAAUACGUAGGGUGCAAGCGUUAUUCGGAAUUAUUGGGCGUAAAGCGGAUGUAGGCGGCUUUGUAAGUCCGAUGUGAAAUCCCUGGACUCAAUUCAGGAAGUGCAUUGGAUACUGCAAGGCUAGAGUGUAGGAGGGGUAGGCGGAAUUCCAGGUGUAGAGGUGAAAUUCGUAGAUAUCUGGAGGAACAACAGUGGCGAAGGCGGCUUACUGGACUACAACUGACGCUGAGAUCCGAAAGUGUGGGGAGCAAACAGGAUUAGAAACCCCGGUAGUCC